UGGUUGCUCAAAACAUUACAUAGUUCUUGAUAUAUCAUAUUUCACACUUUGAUUCAAGUGGGUUAUGAACUCCCAUUUUUACCCCGUAUACAGAUUGCAGAAUCACAUCAGUUACACAUCCAUUAGGUGUUAACGUGGAAAGGCAUUUGGGGCAGCGAAUACAGGCAGGUACAGAGCACACCGCGCCCUCGGAACUGCUCACUGCUGCGGCGCUGCCGGGCCGAGGGUGAAGCAUGAUAGAGGACAUGGUGUGGAGAUGGAAUGAAGCUUCAUCUCAGUUUUCCUUUGCUCUUCUGCUUAGGGGAGCAGAGUCAAGAGUGUGCCUUGAGUCUCAGAGGAUACUUUGGUUGUGAGAUGUUUUGGCAAUGUUGAAACUGUAAAGACUAUAGGACUCUUGGAAAUGAAAUAAAUGCGUCUUGCAUGAAGCUUA